GGAAUCCUCACAUACAGUCACACAGCGACAGCAUUACGUAAUAUCGCGAUACUUCAUGCCCCGGUCCAGUGUCUAGAUAGCUUCCUGAGAGCAGAAAAAUACCGUCGUCUUAGAGAAAAUCCUGGACGUAAAAAAUCGGCCGCUGCUCCAGGAACAAAGACAAAAUAAAAGAAAGGUCUAUGUGAGUUCUACCGUUUCAUUUCAAAUAUUUACAAGGCAACAUGAACCUCAAAAUCAGGAAUCAUUACCCCCUGCCUGCACCAUGCUGUAUCUGGAAACUGAAGUCACAAUGUAUAGCCCAGGAACAAAGAACACCCAAGAGAACAGCUGUGUCAUGCACCGCCCCCUCCAGUUUUUACUUUUGACUUCAGACCGCUGCAUCAGUUUUGUUCGGUGUUGUAAUAUGCCUGAAAUAAACAAUGAUCCACCAUUGCUUUAUAUUUUAUCUCAGAUUUUACAUUUUUUUUAAGAGACACUUAAGAAAAUACAUUUUUCUUCUAGUCCCACUUCUGGUUACAUUUGAAGAUUUUUUUGUUGUAAACAAUUCAUUCCAUUCCCAUCUAUUGCCUAGACUAUUAUUGUCAAUGAAAACAAAAUAAAGGGCCUCUUGUUUUAAAAAGAUCUUAUAGAAAAAGUGUCCAUAUUGUUCACAACAAAUAAUAUUUCCUGUAAACAUUUCUUAGUACAGAGUAGGAAAUAACGUUGUAUAUGUGUCUGGAAAACAAA